UAGGAAGUGAGAAAGGGCGUAUGGGGAUGCCUAGGCUCUUGGAGGCGAAGAAGGACGUGGUAAGCUGCGAAAAGCCAUGGGGAGCUGCAAGCGAGCGUUGAUCCAUGGGUGUCCGAAUGGGGAACCCACCAUGCUGAAGGCAUGGUACCUUAUCUAAAAAUAAGGAGCGAACGUGCUGAACUGAAACAUCUAAGUAGGCAUAGGAAGAGAAAACAAAAGUGAUUCUGCAAGUAGUGGCGAGCGAACGCGGAAUAGCCCAAACCGAUUUAAGAAAUUAUAUCGGGGUUGUAGGACUAUCUUACGAUUUACAACAAAGAAGUGGAAUAUAACUGGAAAGUUAAAUCAUAGAGGGUGAUAAUCCCGUACACGAAAGGUGUUGUAGAUUUGAUAGUAUCCUGAGUAGCGCGGGACCGGAGAAAUCCUGUGUGAAUCUGCCGGCACCAUCCGGUAAGGCUAAAUACUACCAAGAGACCGAUAGUGAACCAGUACUGUGAAGGAAAGGUGAAAAGAACCCCAAGAAGGGGAGUGAAAAGACCCUGAAACCAUACGCCUACAAGCGGUCGGAGUCUCAAUUUAUUGGGAUGACGGCGUGCCUUUGCAUAAUGAGCCUACGAGUUACUACUUACUAGCAAGUUUAAGGAUUUAAGAUCCGGAGGCGUAGCGAAAGCGAGUCUGAAUAGGGCGAAUAGCUAGUGGGUGUAGACGCGAAACCAAGUGAUCUACCCAUGAGCAGGUUGAAGGACGGAUAGUCUCCGUCUGGAGGAUCGGAACAGAUAAACGUUGAAAAGUUUCCUGAUGACUUGUGGGUAGGGGUGAAAGGCUAAUCAAACUUGGAGAUAGCUCGUACUCCCCGAAAUGCAUUUAGGUGCAGCGUUGGGAAGAGAGUGUCAUGGAGGUAGAGCUACCAAUAAGGCUAGGGGGCUUCACCGCCUACCAACCCUUAAUGAACUCCGAAUGCCAUGACAUUUUACCGGCAGUGAGGCGCGGGGUGCUAAGGUCACGCGCCGAGAGGGGAACAACCCAGACCAUCAGCUAAGGUCCCUAAAUUUUAUCUAAGUUGAUAGAACGAGGUGAGAAUGCACAGACAGCUAGGAUGUUGGCUUGGAAGCAGCCAUUCAUUUAAAGAGUGCGUAACAGCUCACUAGUCGAGCGUUCUUGCGCGGAAAAUAAUCGGGCAUCAAGGUAAAUACCGAAGCUAUGGAGUGUAGCAAUACGCUGGUAGGGGAGCAUUCUGUAAGCCAUUGAAGAUUAGAUGUGAGUCUAGUUGGAGGUAACAGAAAAGAAAAUGUAGGCAUAAGUAACGAUAAUGCGGGUGAAAUACCCGCACGCCGUAAGACUAAGGUUUCCUGGAUCCAUGUUAAUCAGAACAGGGUUAGUCGGGGCCUAAGGAAAAGCCGCAAGGCGGAUCCGAUGGGAAAUCGGUUAAUAUUCCGAUACCUCUAAAUAUUUCGAAGCGGGGACGAAGGAGCGUAAGGCAUGCGUACUGACGGAAUAGUACGUUAAAGGCCAUAGGCGUUGAGGAUAAUAGUUAAGUACGUUAUCCGAGCUGAAAGCUGAUAGUACUGAUUACUUUUCGGAGUAAUUAGAUAAUUGCCCCAAGCAGGCUUCCGAGAAAAGCCGCUAAGGUUAGGUAUUUAGAGCCCGUACCGUAAACCGACACAGGUAGUCGAGGAGAGUAUCCUAAGGCGCUCGAGUGAUUCGUGGCUAAGGAACUAGGCAAAAUAGGCUCGUAACUUCGGGAGAAGAGUCCCCUGAGUAAUCAGGGCGCAGUGAAGAGGCCCAGGCAACUGUUUAACAAAAACACAGGACUCUGCUAAAUCGAAAGAUGAUGUAUAGGGUCUGACACCUGCCCGGUGCUGGAAGGUUAAGGAAGGGGGUUAGUCGCAAGGCGAAGCUCUUAACUGAAGCCCCAGUAAACGGCGGCCGUAACUAUAACACUCCUAAGGUAGCGAAAUUCCUUGUCGGGUAAGUUCCGACCUGCACGAAUGGUGUAAUGAUCUGGGCACUGUCUCAGCCACGAGCUCGGUGAAAUUGAAGUAUCGGUGAAGAUACCGAUUACCCGCAACGGGACGGAAAGACCCCGUGAACCUUUACUAUAGCUUAACAUUGUGUUUGGUUGUAUGAUGUGUAGGAUAGGUGGGAGACUUUGAAGUGGUUACGCUAGUAGUCAUGGAGUCGUCGUUGAAAUACCACCCUUUAUGCAAUUAGAUUCUAACCGUGCACCGCAUGGGACAUUGUUUGGUGGGUAGUUUGACUGGGGUGGUCGCCUCCAAAAGAGUAACGGAGGCUCGCAAAGGUACCCUCAGCAUGGUCGGUAAUCAUGCGCAGAGCGUAUUAGUACAAGGGUGCUUGACUGUGAGACGGACGCGUCGAGCAGGUAUGAAAGUAGGCUAAAGUGAUCCGGUGGUUCCGUAUGGAAGGCCAUCGCUCAAAGGAUAAAAGGUACUCCGGGGAUAACAGGCUGAUCUCCCCCAAGAGCUCAUAUCGACGGGGAGGUUUGGCACCUCGAUGUCGGCUCGUCACAUCCUGGGGCUGGAGAAGGUCCCAAGGGUUCGGCUGUUCGCCGAUUAAAGUGGCACGCGAGCUGGGUUCAGAACGUCGCAAGACAGUUCAUCUCCUAUCUGUUGUGGGCGUAGGAAUAUUGAAGGGCUCUGACUCUAGUACGAGAGGACCGAGUUGGACGAACCUCUAGUGUAUCAGUUGUGCCGCCAGGUGCAGUGCUGAGUAGCUACGUUCGGUGUGGAUAAGCGCUGAAAGCAUCUAAGCGCGAAGCCCUCCCUAAGAUGAGUAUUCCAGCGAGGCAACUCGCGAAGGGACGUGGAAGAUGACCACGUUGAUAGGCUAUAGAUGGAAGCGUAGUGAUACGUGCAGUCGAGUAGUACUAAUUACCCAAUAACUUCCUUUU
rnacentral:rRNA from 1 species